GAUGAACGCUGGCGGCGUGCCUAAUACAUGCAAGUCGAGCGAACAGAUGAGGAGCUUGCUCCUCUGACGUUAGCGGCGGACGGGUGAGUAACACGUGGAUAACCUACCUAUAAGACUGGGAUAACUUCGGGAAACCGGAGCUAAUACCGGAUAAUAUAUUGAACCGCAUGGUUCAAUAGUGAAAGACGGUUUUGCUGUCACUUAUAGAUGGAUCCGCGCCGCAUUAGCUAGUUGGUAAGGUAACGGCUUACCAAGGCGACGAUGCGUAGCCGACCUGAGAGGGUGAUCGGCCACACUGGAACUGAGACACGGUCCAGACUCCUACGGGAGGCAGCAGUAGGGAAUCUUCCGCAAUGGGCGAAAGCCUGACGGAGCAACGCCGCGUGAGUGAUGAAGGUCUUCGGAUCGUAAAACUCUGUUAUUAGGGAAGAACAAAUGUGUAAGUAACUAUGCACGUCUUGACGGUACCUAAUCAGAAAGCCACGGCUAACUACAUG
rnacentral:rRNA from 1 species